rnacentral:rRNA from 1 species
AGCAGUCGCCACGGGAAUACAGAGGGUGCGAGCGUUAAUCGGAUUUACUGGGCGUAAAGCGUGCGUAGGCGGCUAAUUGAGUCGGAUGUGAAAUCCCCGAGCUUAACUUGGGAAUUGCAUUCGAUACUGGUUAGCUAGAGUGUGGGAGAGGAUGGUAGAAUUCCAGGUGUAGCGGUGAAAUGCGUAGAGAUCUGGAGGAAUACCGAUGGCGAAGGCAGCCAUCUGGCCUAACACUGACGCUGAGGUACGAAAGCAUGGGGAGCAAACAUGAUUAGAUACCCCGGUAGUCCCUGUCUCUUAUAU